rnacentral:tRNA from 1 species
GAGAAAGAAGCAUGAGUGGUCUAUGCGACUGGCUUGAAACCAGUAUGUGGGGGUUCGAUUCCUUCCUUUCUUG